GCCGAUGCACCCUGAAGACUGAAGGAGCCAGGGCAGUGCCAGGAUCCUGCGAGCCACGGCCCUGGCUGCCCUGCUGAGCCUCCCGGAACCCAGGUCAUCAGGGAUAAAGAAAGCUUUUUAUGGCUCACUGACUGAGGACAGUCAAUCCCUUCACAAUCUGGAACCUGAAGAUUGGAUCUUCUGAGAACAUCAGAGAAAGAGUGCCCCUGCCAUCCACACUGCAGCAAACAUCAGAACCGUGAACCUUGGGUUCAUAAUCUCUCAACUGAGAAGGAUCCCUCCGCAUUCUUGAAACUGUACACCCAUCGGAACCCUUAAGGUGUCAAACUUUCUCAGUCAGAAGUUGAUAUAAGGAAGGGACCAUCUUCAGGUCUCCUUUGAAGCUCCCAGCCUAGCUUUCUUUUGAAUCUCUGCUCUUCAACCACAAUGAUUUAUGUACCUCAAGACCCCUCCACCUCCUGGCUGCCUGUGAUCUUCCUGCACCUAGCACUCAGCAAAGGGUCUGACAUUUAGAUAGCACUCAAUCAAUAUGAAGAAUUUAAAGUAUAGUGACAAGGUGGUGCCCACACUGGAUGGUCUGUAUGCUGUGGUCUCAUCAGGGACCUUUCUCUGCACCGCAUUUUUCCUGAGAAAUCCCAGAGUUCAGUAAAUACCUGUGUAUGUCAGAGCUAGACACAUCUGAUGCCUUUCUGGGACUGCUUAUAUUCUCCGUUCCCUAGGAAUGCAUAUCCUUGACCUGUAAUUGUAGGAUACAGGUGCAUUAUGGGUGCAGAUAUCUCAGUUUUGCAUCCUGCAAGAGUUAGUCUGGAGAUUGUUCACUCCACUCUGAGUAUUGCUGACACCUACAGCAUGUUUCCAGGGGACAAAAAUGGAAGGGGGUGACUCUGAUUGGAUAGUGAGAGGAACACGGGUAGCUCUGGGAAACUGACCAGGGAUAGGUGCCCAGGAGCACACAAGGCCCAGAAGCUGCUUGUGAGAAGUCAGGGAGAAGGAAGCCAAAACUGGAUGUAUCAGAGAGCCACUGAGUGCUCAUUAUGUGUAUCAGGAGUUAAGAAUCCAUCCUCUACAUGAAAAGAAAAGCUUAGACCAAACAUGUCUUCUACCUUAAUUUACAGUAACGUAAUAUGAAAUGCAAAACACGUAACAAUUUUGGACUGUAAAAAAAAGAUCAGUGUUUGAAAGAGUGCUGCACGUAUUGCUUUGCACUUUCAACAACGGGGAGGCGUUUCUCUCUGUAUGAAUUAUUAGCUCAGGAGGUCUAGGCUGGUGAAUGAAUGCAGACUUACAGGAUAAAUGUCUACUGGAUGCAUUCAAAAGGCCAAGCAACAUUUGGUUAAGGGGUAUUUGUGACGGCAUUCAGAGAAAAUGUUGAAAGCGUGUUAGAUUGUAUUUAUCAUUGUAAAUUCUGAUGCUCAUUUAAUUUCUUAACAGUAAUGCUAAUACAUGCUCUUAGUUAUAUGUCGAAUCAGUGCUAUGUCAAUAUGGGUCCUAUAACACAGAUCUGCAGUCUGCUCACCACUGAAUAGCUAAGAAUAGUGGCUUCAGACCUGAAUGGAUGACGACACCAAACACGAUGAUCGGGCAGCUCACUGAAAUACAGUAAAUCCAGGAGAGGUCCAUGUCCAACGGGCCACCUUAUACAAUAGCUUGGAUAUCCCCAUUUUCAUGGUUGUCUUCUUUCCUACGUGUAAACCACAUUAAACUUCUUUAUUAACUC
rnacentral:lncRNA from 1 species